rnacentral:rRNA from 1 species
CCUACGGGAGGCUGCAGUGGGGAAUAUUGCACAAUGGGCGCAAGCCUGAUGCAGCCAUGCCGCGUGUGUGAAGAAGGCCUUCGGGUUGUAAAGCACUUUCAGCGGGGAGGAAGGCGGUGAGGUUAAUAACCUCAUCGAUUGACGUUACCCGCAGAAGAAGCACCGGCUAACUCCGUGCCAGCAGCCGCGGUGAUACGGAGGGUGCAAGCGUUAAUCGGAAUUACUGGGCGUAAAGCGCACGCAGGCGGUCUGCCAAGUCGGAUGUGAAAUCCCCGGGCUCAACCUGGGAACUGCAUUCGAAACUGGCAGGCUAGAGUCUUGUAGAGGGGGGUAGAAUUCCAGGUGUAGCGGUGAAAUGCGUAGAGAUCUGGAGGAAUACCGGUGGCGGAGGCGGCCCCCUGGACAAAGACUGACGCUCAGGUGCGAAAGCGUGGGGAGCAAACAGGAUUAGAUACCCCUGUAGUC